CCAGACUUGUCGGCCUCCCUCUAGUUGUACCUCGUUGGAUACGAAUCCCUUGAGUAAUUAUCCAAGUUCAUCUACAGUGGUGAGUUCUUGGUAAGGUUACGCUUUUAUUAUUAUUUGCUUGCGGUAUUAUCGUCUGUUCUUGUAGUAAUAGAUACUCUAAGACAGAGAUCUGGCCGAAGCUAGAGUAGUAAUAGAUAGCAUAGACGUGGUGUCUAGGCUAUAGGUUGCCUUUGUUUGCCUCGUUCCCCAUGGUCUAAGGGGUAGGUAGCAGGUGGGGACAACCCUGUCCAUCCUUUUGUAUUCCUCCACAUUCGGGUUCAACUAGAGCUAAUAGCCGGAGCCGCCUGGCAGACUAGGUGUUGACCGGUGCCCAAAGUAGAUGCUUAGUAACAAAGUUUAUCCUUGCAAGAAUCUUUAUCCUAACACAACCACUCUACCCAGACCAUUCUAUCUCUUUUUCUUUGGGCAAACCAGUUAGAAAACUUUUACACUCCCAUUCCCUUAGAAAAUACAAUACCC
rnacentral:lncRNA from 1 species